UCUUCAUUGGUCUAGUGGUCAUGAUUUCCGCUUGUCAAGAGUCAGAUCUCGUCAAGCGCGGGAGACCAGGGUUCGAUUCCCUGAUGGAGAG
rfam:Aureobasidium namibiae CBS 147.97 unplaced genomic scaffold scaffold_18, whole genome shotgun sequence.